CCUAAGGCUCCAUCAACGUCCUUAUGCUUACCCUAUUGGUUUGUGACGUUUACCAGUGGAUUAUGCAAUCACAAUUAUCAGAUUGCUCCAUCUUUUUGGUAAUAGAUUCCUGGGAGAGAAAUCUCGUCACGUAACUAAAAUCAAAAUCGAGACAAAUACACAAAAGAAAAAAAAACAAAGAAUAAGGAAUCCAAGGAAAUGAGGAGGACGAAGAUGAGAUGAGAUGAGAAGAGAGAAUGCGCGCGGAUAUGUAUAUAUACAAGAGAAAUUGGAAGCCCUAGAAGAGACACACACCGCCUUUGGGAAUUAAUUAUACGCCUUAAUGGCCCAAUAGAUUUGCUCUUCAUGGCCCAAACUAUUUGCUCUGCAAGCCCAUUAAAGGUAACUAAAUUAUUUUUAAAAGGUAAAAUAAUUAAAUAUUUAAUUUUGCAACUUGUGACAUAAAGAGUCAGCAGUUUUUCAUCAGUCAUGUAAUUUUCAUAUUUUGGCCAGAAGGGAUACAUAUAUUUUCAGAUCAUCUCAAUUUGUGUAAAUAAGAAUUUUUUUAUUCCGGAUACAACCAACAGAGAUGAAGUUCUAAGCUACGUUUGAAUUAUUUGGUUUUAACGUUAUAGAUAGAGAGCAUGCUACUACUUUGGCGUUUUUUUUUAAUCUAGCAAAAUGUGCAUGAGUUCCACUAGUGGCGCUGGUGGAUACGAGUGAGACGCUAUCAGUCAUGACUUAUGAGUGUGUUCCAGUGUUUUCUUUAUACACGAAUUUAGGUAUGAUCGGGACUUAUAGAAGACAACGAUCACCGCAUUUUUAUAAGUUGUUUGAUGUUGGAUUUUACUAUUUGCAGGGUAAUCGAUUGGCCAUAAAGCAAUUUGGUUUUAAUCGGUUCUGAUACUACUACCAAUUAGAUUCAAGAGUGUUUGAAUUAAGUAUAGGUAAAGAUGUUGUGAUUAGAAAAGAUUAUCACACAAGAAUUCUUCGUCGAAAAUGGGAACACCAAUUAAGACAUCUUGACAAGCAGCCUGUCUUUCCCUUGUUCUGACAACUUGAAGGUGAAGCUGAUGAUUGCUUAAAAUAAGAUGUACGCGUAAGGAAAUCACAGACUUUCUCAUCUUUUUAUUCUUCGUAGACAUCAGAGAUUGAUGGAUAUCAAGUUACAAGAAACUAAUAAUAGUUUACUUCGUUUCGGUAUAAGUUACAAGAUAAAUUAAUGUAUGGCUGGGUUACAAGAAACGUAGAAAUCAAAUGUAGAAUAUGAAUAUUAUCUAUUGAAUACAAGGCGUAGUAGUUUCAGAAAUACACUUUUAUUACCGGCUUCGGGAACAUAACAAAACGAACAUAAACUAAAGGUCAUAAACUGCGGAAACGUCUCAAGCGGCUAGACAUAAUGGAAUGAGCCAAACACCUUCAUCAAUAACAUCCAGACUAGAUUUUCAGAACUAUCAUCACCCACAGCUACAGUUAGGACAAACCCGUCGAAGAUCACAUCAAUUAACUGAAUCUGUAAAACAAAGCCAACCACAUAACCAAUACACAAUUUGUGUCCCUCGUUAAAAAUAUGUAAACACAAAACCAAAUCAGUCAAAAUGUAAAACUGUAAAAGGGUAAUAAUAUAACCAUCAGCAACCAAAAGUUAUCAUCAAAGAAAUACAGUCCGCAUCAAGGUCAAGUCAUUAUAAUGACCAUCAUCUGGCUAUUAAAACCCUUUUCAAUCUUAUAAACUUACAAAAAAAAUUUCAGAAAUAAUAAAGGCUCAGAGAAAAUAUGGGUUAGAGAUGGUUAUCAGCACUAAUAUCAGAGUGGUGCAUGACAUUCUCGUUCAUCACUGCCUUUUCUAUACUAAUCAAAAACAAAACUCAUCAAAAAAAUAGCCUCAGAAUUGCAGAAGUAUCAUCAAUGUUAAUCAGUCCCGAAAGAUGGUGUUCUUUUAUAAUCUGAUGUCCUCAUUGGCUAAAUACAAUCCUAACUAGAUAAAACUGAAAACCAAAAUACAGGGGAAUAUAGAUCUCAUGGCCGGUCCCAAACGGUAAAAGCAGCGACGCCGCUCCGCAAGGCAAUGGAAUAUGAGAGCCAAUAGCAAGAUACCCAAAACGGAGAAGCCCUAGAGCUCCAUCAACGUCCAUGGGCAUGCCCAAUUGCUUUGUGACG
rnacentral:lncRNA from 1 species